GUUAGGAAUAUUGCGCAAUGGGCGAAAGCCAGACGCAGCAACGCCGCGUGGGCGACGAAGGUCUUCGGAUCGUAAAGCCCUUUUACGGGGGACGAGGAAGGACAGUACCCUGUGAAUAAGUCUCGGCUAAUUACGUGCCAGCAGCCGCGGUAACACGUAAGAGGCGAGCGUUAUCCGGAUUCAUUGGGCGUAAAGCGCGUGCAGGCGGUGCUCUAAGUUGGACGUAAAAUCUCCUGGCCCAACUAGGAGGGGUCGUUCAAGACUGGAACACUUGAGGUCAGAAGAGGGAAGCGGAAUUCCCGGUGUAGCGGUGGAAUGCGUAGAUAUCGGGAGGAACACCCGUGGCGAAAGCGGCUUCCUGGUCUGCACCUGACGCUGAGACGCGAAAGCUAGGGGAGCAAACGGGAUUAGAUACCCCUGUAGUCC
rnacentral:rRNA from 1 species